CAACACCCGAAGCCAGUGGCCAACCUUUGGAGGGAGCUAGUCGAAGGUCGGGGUUGGCGAUUGGGGUG
rnacentral:rRNA from 1 species